AGCAGCCAUAUCACGUUAAAACACCAGUUCUCGUACGAUCACCGAAGUUAAGCAACACCGAGCCUGGACACUACUUGUGUGUGUGACCGCUUGGGAAGACCCGAUGUUGUAAG